rnacentral:lncRNA from 1 species
GUAUUAACUGGUGUCUAGGAUGGGUCUCUUACUUAUGGAAAAAGGAGUAAAGCCCCACCCUUUCCUUUUGGGAGGAGGUCUUAGGUUGCAGCUUGUGGGUGAGGGGCAUUGAAGAGUAAAGAAAUGUUGCUGGUAUGAUGAGUAAAACCUCAGAACACAUUUCUUAUAGCAACAGAAUUAUAAACAAGAGUUGCUUGUAGUUAAAAUACUACUAGUAUCUCUUCAAGUAUUUAGGGGUCAAAUAAGAUUUUAUGGAUCAGUCUGGAAAUCCAAUCAGCAUCUUAGGUGAAAGGAUUCUGAUUCUAAACUUUUAGACACUAUCUCACAUGCACUGAGAGCUGUAUCUAGUGUUCUUCCAUUUCCUCUCUCUGUGCUUCUCAGGGCCACUUAGACUUCCUUCAUCCCCAGAACCAAAGGGACCAGAAACUUAGAAGAUGUCACAAUUUUAUCUGCUACUGACCCUGCAGGCAGGGCUGCCUGGUGGUGAAACAAUAUGUUACGUAACAGAGUCGAGACAGGUUUGUGUCGGAUGGAUGCAGGCUCCAACCCUGUGCUGCACUACCUGGCUGCCCAAUCUCCCUCAACGAGCCUCAGUUUUUCACCUGUAAAGUGGGGAUAAUGCAUCCACAUCUCAGGAUCAUUGCGAAGAGUGAGGACAUCACAUAUAAAAAACUGGCCCACAGAAAGCAUGGAGUAAAUGCCAGCUGUUACAGCAGCUUCUGUAGGAAGGCAGAGCCUGCCUUGCAGCCACUCCACUGGCAAACGUGUCAAUAGGAAGAGUGAGAAGUGAGCAAUGCCUCCUGAGCUGAUGCCUACAGAAGAGCUGUGACAAUCUGCCUCUAGAACAACCUCAGCAAGCUGCCUGGCCCAGGGGAAAUCCAACCGUGGUGACUUUGCCCAGAUUCUGCAAGAUGCUUUCUAAUUGUUGGUGUUCACGAGGGACAAGCAACAGCUGAGCUCAUUCCCUUCCCAUCAGUUUGCAACAUCUGCCCCAGCCCUUACUGACAGUAGAGAAAAAUAAGGACUUUCCGAUCACACCUUUAGGCCACCAAUCUUCAAUGAGUUACUGGGCCCUUCCAGAAAUCAGAUUUUCUAACUGGUCCCUGCAUUGGCUCCAGCAGCUUUGGAGUGUGAGUGCUGUCUCUUUGGAGAGAUUGUGGGCUCCUUGAGGGCUCUGUCUUUUUGUUCUGUGUAGCCCCAGCACAUAGUAGGGGAAGACACACAGGAAAUCCAAAAGCAUGGGAAGACCCUGGGCUGAGGGAGCAGAGGCUGAAACUCUGGGAAAAGCUGUGAGGACCACAAAAGUGGUUGGGCCCCUAAUGGCCUCGAGACCCGGGGUACAACAAACCCCACAGGAGGCCCAAUGACAUCCCCUGUCCUAACUCAGCUCAGGAAGAGGCAGCUGCCAUGGUUUAAAGAAUGUGGGUUUUUAGGGUAGAUAGACCCCACAUCUGCUUCAUACCUUGCUGCAUGAUUUAUUUCCCUUCUCUGAGCCUUAGUUUCCUCAUUACAAAAAUGUAAAUAAAAAUAUCUUCUUUACAUGAUCA